CCAAACGUCAAACGCGCUUAUCUUCUCUCUUCAUUUACCCCCAAAAUAGUUUCUGGAGAGAUGCUUGUCAACGAAGGAGGAUCUCAUCAUAAAGAAAAAGGCAGGGGCUGCUGUGGUUGGAUUAGUUAGAUUUGUUCUGAAUCUUAUUAAUUUUGAUGUAUUUGAUGACUGAAGUUUUGAUGUAUUUGAUUAUUGAAAAGGAUAAAAUGAUUAACAAUCUUUGCUCAAGUUGAAGAGGUCUGGCUACUGGAAGAAAUGUCAUCCUUUUACUCCUUAUCCCACUCAUACAAAAGUGUCAAUGGGUCAUUCAUGCCUGUGGUUUUACAUGGUGGCCAUAUCCCUUCCUUGAGCUUGACAAAUCAUGGGCACCUCUAUGGUAUCUUGCAAUGGCAGUGAUUCACAUCCCCUGUUAUGGGGCAUACGCGUUGAUAAUAAAAGCCAGAGAUUCGGUUCUCCCCAAAUGGUUUCCUCAUGCCUUUAUCCGCUCAUCCUAGUUGCUUUCGUCCUUAAUUCUGAAAUUGCUGUUAUUCCCAAUUUUAGUGUUGUGUGUAGGUAAACGAGGAAAUGUUCUGUUUCUUCAAAAAUAAUCAUAGGUUCUUCUCUCCUACGGAACAAUAGGGUGAGAUUCACAUACUUCUGUUAAAGAUGUUUUACAGUUGAUUUGGCAAAAAAACUACCCCAGAGGAAUCGUUGCCAAUUAUUUUCAUCUCAUUAGAGCUUCCUCUCUC